UUGGUCUGUGAUGACCAAUAACCACCAACUUUCAUUUGAGUCUCAUGUCUGUGAGAUCACCCCCAUGUACCUCUCUGAGACCUA